rnacentral:rRNA from 1 species
UACGUAGGGGGCUAGCGUUGUCCGGAAUCAUUGGGCGUAAAGCGCGCGUAGGCGGCCCGGUAAGUCCGCUGUGAAAGUCAAAGGCUCAACCUUUGAAUGUCAGCGGAUACUGCCAGGCUAGAGUCCGGAAGAGGCGAGUGGAAUUCCUGGUGUAGCGGUGAAAUGCGCAGAUAUCAGGAGGAACACCGGUGGCGAAGGCGGGUCUCUGGGCCGAUACUGACGCUGAGGAGCGAAAGCGUGGGGAGCGAACAGG